rnacentral:rRNA from 1 species
CCUACGGGAGGCAGCAGUGAGGAAUAUUGGUCAAUGGACGAGAGUCUGAACCAGCCAAGUAGCGUGAAGGAUGACUGCCCUAUGGGUUGUAAACUUCUUUUAUAAAGGAAUAAAACGAGGCACGUGUGCCUUUUUGCAUGUACUUUAUGAAUAAGGAUCGGCUAACUCCGUGCCAGCAGCCGCGGUAAUACGGAGGAUCCGAGCGUUAUCCGGAUUUAUUGGGUUUAAAGGGAGCGUAGGUGGGUUGUUAAGUCAGUUGUGAAAGUUUGCGGCUCAACCGUAAAAUUGCAAUUGAUACUGGCAGUCGUGAGUACAGUUGAGGUAGGCGGAAUUCGUGGUGUAGCGGUGAAAUGCUUAGAUAUCACGAAGAACUCCGAUUGCGAAGGCAGCUUACUAAACUGUGACUGACAUUGAUGCUCGAAAGUGUGGGUAUCAAACAGGAUUAGAUACCCUAGUAGUC